rnacentral:rRNA from 1 species
AUUGAACGCUGGCGGUAGGCCUAACACAUGCAAGUCGAGCGGCUGCAGGGAGCUUGCUCCUGGUUUCAGCGGCCGACGGGCGGGCAAGGCCUAGGAAUCUGCCUGUUUGCGUGGGAUUACGUGCGGACACGGGCGCUAAUACGCCAUUCGUGCAGAGGGCGAACGGGUGGGAGCUUCGGACCUUCCGCUCUCACGUGAGCCUAGGGCCGAUUAGCUAGUUGGUGGGGUAAAGGCCUACCGAGGCGACGAUGCGUCACUGGUCUGCGAGGAUGAUCGGUCACCCUUGAACUGAGACACGGUCCAAGCUCCUACGGGAAGGAGCAGUGGGGAAUAGUGGACAAUGGGCGAAAGCCUGAUCCCGGCAUGACGCGUGUGUGAAGAAGGUCCUCGGAUUUGAAAGCACUUUAAGUUGGGAGGAAGGGCAGUAAGGUAAUACCUUGCUGUUUUGGCGGUACCAACAGAAUAAGCACCGGCUAACUUCGUG